rnacentral:rRNA from 1 species
AAACGUAGGAGACGAGCGUUAUCCGGAUUUAUUGGGCGUAAAGCGCGUGCAGGCGGUUUGGAAAGUUGGAUGUGAAAGCUCCUGGCUUAACUGGGAGAGGUCGUUCAAAACUACCAGACUAGAGAAUGGGAGAGGGAAGUGGAAUUCCGGGUGUAGUGGUGAAAUGCGUAGAUAUCCGGAGGAACACCAGUGGCGAAAGCGGCUUCCUGGACCAUUUCUGACGCUAAGACGCGAAAGCUAGGGGAGCGAACGGGAUUAGAGACCCCGGUAGUCCUAGCUGUAAACGAUGUAGACUUGGCGUUGGCGGAGUUAAAUCUGCCAGUGCCGGAGCUAACGCGUUAAGUCUACCGCCUGGGGACUACGACCGCAAGGUUAAA